CUUAGUACUUUGCCAAUACAUACUAAAAGUGGAAUAGCUCAGAGAAGAUUAGCACAGCCCAUGUGCAGGGAUGGCAUGUAAAUUCAUGAAGCAGUCCUUUUGGGU
rnacentral:snRNA from 1 species